rnacentral:rRNA from 1 species
AUUGAACGCUGGCGGAAUGCUUUACACAUGCAAGUCGAGCGGCAGCACGGGGGCAACCCUGGUGGCGAGCGGCGAACGGGUGAGUAAUACAUCGGAACAUGCCCAGUCGUGGGGGAUAACACUUCGAAAGAAGUGCUAAUACCGCAUACGUCCUGAGGGAGAAAGCGGGGGAUCUUCGGACCUCGCGCGAUUGGAGUGGCCGAUGUCAGAUUAGCUAGUUGGUGGGGUAAAGGCCUACCAAGGCAACGAUCUGUAGCUGGUCUGAGAGGAUGAUCAGCCACACUGGGACGGAGACACGGCCCAGACUCCUACGGGAGGCAGCAGUGGGGAAUUUUGGACAAUGGGGGCAACCCUGAUCCAGCCAUUCCGCGUGAGUGAAGAAGGCCUUCGGGUUGUAAAGCUCUUUCGGCAGGAACGAAACGGCGAGCUCUAACAUAGCUUGCUAAUGACGGUACCUGAAGAAGAAGCACCGGCUAUCUACGUGCCAGCCGCCGCGGUAAAAC